rnacentral:rRNA from 1 species
AUGGUCUUGUGUCGAGUCAAUGGAUUUUUGCGCGAGUGCAUCUGCUCACAGGGAAUGCAGGAGAACCUUGUAUAUGAACUUGCCGGCACUUGCAGCCUCCCCCAACGCACUGGGCGUCAUCUUGUCAUAUUGGAAAGCUGGGGUAGGGAUAGGAUUGUGCUCGAGAGCAUUGACUUGUCAAGGCUGCGGUCAAUGACAGUGUUUGGGGAGUGGAAACCAUUCUUCAUCUCCCAGAGCACGAAGCUUCUCAGGGUGUUGGAUCUGGAGGAUGCAGUCGGUGUAACAAAUGAUGAUGUCGAGCAGAUGGUCAAGCUGUUGCCUUGCCUCAUGUUCCUCUCCCUACGAGGAUGCGACCAGAUCUUCCAGCUGCCUAGGUCAUUAGGUGAUCUGAGGCAGCUUCAGACUUUGGAUGUGACAAACACAUCCAUAAUCACUCUGCCAGCAUCCAUCACCAAACUACAAAAGCUCCAGUACAUUCGUGCCGGCGCUGCUGCAACCGCAUCACAGGGACCAACAGCAACCACAGGAAAUGACCAAACACCACAAGCUAUUGUGCCCGUGGUUUCCGGGUUUUUCAUACCUGACCAUCCUCUUCGUUGUGUUGUGCCCAGAGGGAUUGGGAAACUGACGGCAUUGCACACUCUAGGUGUUGUCAAUAUUGGUGCUUCAGAGGGGGAGGCCAUACUGAAAGAGCUAAAGAAUCUCACCCAAUUGCGCAAGUUGGGUGUGUUCGGCGUCAGCAGGAAAAAUAGUGAGGCGUUUUCCUCCGCAAUAUCAAGUCAUGUCCAUUUGAGAUCCUUGUCAGUGUGGCUCGAGGAAGAAAGCAGAGGUUGUUUAGGUGACAUGUCCCUGCCUUUGGAGAACUUACUAAGCCUUAAACUGUAUGGGCUUCGGGACAGGUUGCCAGUUCUACAGGUCAACCAGCUUAGCAAGCUCACAAAGUUACAUUUGAAGAUGAACACUUUAAUGGACGAGGCCAUAGAGUCCCUUGGCAAGCUACCAAAACUAUGCAUUCUACGCCUUUGUGUCAACCAACCUGAAUAUGGCCAGCUCCGUUUUCAUGUCUUUACGGAUGGACUUGAGGAGCUCUCUUAUCAGAAGGUGAAGGUCCUUGACAUUGCUUGCAGGUCCAGCGUACAUGUCAAUUUUGGAUCAGAAGCAAUGAAAAAACUAGAGCUGCUGACAGUUGAGUGCUACUAUGGGUCAUCGUAUCAGUUUUCUGGCCUGGGUCAUCUAUCUCAACUGAAGGAAGUCUGGCUGAAGGGUUCCUACGAGGAAGCACUGAAGGAACAACUGCAGGGCCAGCUUGCAUCCCAUCCAAUGGAACCUGUGCUGAAGCUGGAGGAGUAA